rnacentral:rRNA from 1 species
CACGUGAGGGCGCAAGCGUUGUCCGGAAUUAUUUGGGCGUAAAGAGCUCGUAGGCGGUCUGUUGCGUCUGCUGUGAAAACUCGGGGCUUAACCCCGAGCCUGCAGUGGAUACGGGCAGACUAGAGGUGAGGUAGGGAGAAUGGAAUUCCCGGUGUAGCGGUGAAAUGCGCAGAUAUCGGGAGGAACACCGGUGGCGAAGGCGGUUCUCUGGGCCUUACCUGACGCUGAGGCAGCGAAAGCGUGGGGAGCGAACAGGA